rfam:Picea glauca, whole genome shotgun sequence.
GUACAUGUCUAUAUCAUUAAUGCAUCGUAUCCCAUUAGAAAUCUGCAGUUAAGAACACUUGGGCUAGAGUAGUGUUGAGAUGGGUGACCGACCAAGAAGUCCUAGUGUUUUACAUG